GACGAACGCUGGCGGCGUGCCUAAUACAUGCAAGUAGAACGCUGAAGGCGGAGCUUGCUUCUCUGGAUGAGUUGCGAACGGGUGAGUAACGCGUAGGUAACCUGCCUGGUAGCGGGGGAUAACUAUUGGAAACGAUAGCUAAUACCGCAUAAGAGUAGAUGUUGCAUGACAUUUGCUUAAAAGUUGCAAUUGCAUCACUACCAGAUGGACCUGCGUUGUAUUAGCUAGUUGGUGGGGUAACGGCUCACCAAGGCGACGAUACAUAGCCGAACUGAGAGGGGGAUCGGCCACACUGGGACUGAGACACGGCCCAGACUCCUACGGGAGGCAGCAGUAGGGAAUCUGCGGCAAUGGACGGAAGUCUGACCGAGCAACGCCGCGGGAGUGAAGAAGGUUUUCGGAUCGUAAAGCUCUGUUGUAAGAGAAGAACGAGUGUGAGAGUGGAAAGUUCACACUGUGACGGUAGCUUACCAGAAAGGGACGGCUAACUACGUG
rnacentral:rRNA from 1 species